CUCUCAUCAGUAAUAAGAUAGCAAACUGACUUCGUGCAGUACUGGGUUUAUACUUGAUGGGCACUGUAUGAAACAGGCGGGUGGGAGAUCCUGGAGAGGCUCUUCACACAGCGCAGAUUUACAACAUUCCAGGUCUGUUUCUUUAAACACUGAAAGCGAAGAUGAGUUCGGUGAGCCCUGGGACAGCAGCACACAGGCCCUCACAGGAUGCUACAACUUGUCGUUGGACUUGACAACCUUCAACCCAGAGCUGAAUGACCUCUCCACGUUCAUUCUGGAGACUUCAAUCUUUGCAGGACAUUGUGUCGUGCCCUUUCUUCUCAUCCACUGUGGUCAUCCCUCUACUACAG